CCCGCGAUCCUUUACGUUGAACGCAGACGGCACUCGAGCAUAGCUUUGGAUCGGGUCAACGGGGCAGCUCGAGCGGCUGGGGGCGGUGCGGCAGCUCGAGCGGCUGGGCGGCGCGGCGGCUCAAUGCAGUACGGCGGCGAUGGUUGGAGCUUGCAAGGGCCGGAUCCGUGCGCGGCAGGUGCUGGGGAAGGCGGCGAGGCGGGGGUCGCCGGUGACGACGAAGAAGACAGGAGCGCGGCUUCAGGCAGAAAGGAGAUAUGGAGGUGAGGGAGAGAAGAUGGGGGAAAGGAGGGGUGGUGCGGCGACCUAGGAAGGAUCUCGCCAGAGCUCGACGACGGCGGACGGGCGCGGGAGACAGGGAUUUGGUGUCGCUGCUACUCUCCUGGUCGCUGCCUUGCCUUCCUGGUAUUCCUCCUCUCACCUCUCCUACCUUGACGACAUCUGCUACGUCGCCCAGGCCUCGGCCCCACAUCACCAGCAUCUCCGCCUCGAGUACUCCUGCCGCACUGCACCCAACGGCUCGUCGCCAUGACUGUAUCCAGCAAGGGAUGGAGUGAAGAAGUUGGAUUGGGAUCAUGGAGUAAAUCAAAUGAGGAUGAAACUCAUGUUCGUGUAGGUAGUCAUUUAGACAUUUCUCAACUCUUUAGCAAAUAGUUCACAUGGUAGAGCCAGCCGUGGUGCAGAGGCUAGAUAGUUUUAGUAUUCAGCCUUUUAGUUGCUGCUAGCUCUACUCUGCUUUGUCCUUUCGUAGUGACAAUGUAGCAGUUGUGUGAUACGAUUGCAACACGGAGUCUUCACUGCAUAUUACCUACUGGGAACAGAUGUGUUUUUGUCGACAAAAAAUCCUAAUCUGAAUUUGCUAUUCAGGUGGUAAUCCAAUUAUUUAUGUGCUGUAUUUGCAUUUUGCAAGAUAAUUUGGCUGCCAAAGUGCUACAUCAUAUCUCACUAGACCUAUUGAGCAAGUGGUUAUUUUUCAUUUAUAUAUCAUUCAGAUUUCUAUAUGCAGUGCACAUAGAUUCCUUGCAUUGUUCAGUUACCAAUUUUUGUAAGGGUCUUACUUGCUGGACCAUGGCAUGCUCUUCCAAUGCAGGUUGCUUCCAUUACCAUACUUCAAAUAGGGGAGAUUAGUUUGCCUAUUAUCAUCAACUUUGGACCCUCUUUACGUGGGCAUUUUUUUCAAAGCGUAGCUGUAUAAAAUAAACUGUAUUAGUUUUUAGUUUUAUAUCUGUCCAUGGUUUUGCUCACAUCACAAAUUUUGACAGCUAGACAUAGAUAGUUUACCCCUAUUGGACAUGCAUUUAUCUUCCUCGAUGAGUAUGGCAGAAUCCAACAUCCUUUCGUCCUCUAAAUUGGGGCUCCAUGGCUGCCAACCGACGGAGCAAGACCGGAGACCACCCCCUCCUCCUCCAAUUUGGAGCUCCAUGGUCACCAUUUGAUAGGCACACUGCCGUGUUGCCUCCUCACCGCCUCAACUGGGAGAACGCAUACGCCAACAUCGCCCACGACCCGCCUCUUGUUUGGUAAACAAGUUGUAGUUCAAUUAGGUCUGUUGCUCCUUUUACAUGCAGAGCCUGGGAGAUCAUGGUCUUCUCCCAUUUUCUUUUGAACAAUAUAUGCACUACAGGUAUGUGAGAAGAAAUAUUGUAUUUCUUGGAAAAGAUAUGCGGAAUAAGCAGGCAUCAAUUUGACCAGGUUUACAAGCUAUUAGAUGUGCAUUUUUAAGAUGCAGUAAUCAUACUUUCUACUGGAAUUUGACUUAUAAUUCUAAUAAUUUGCUGAUCAGUGUAUCUACAAAAUGCAGCUGCAAUUUGAAUUUUUUAUGUCAAUUUGGUGGACCAGAGUUGGAAUUCAAGAGGGUUGGUGUGGUUGUAGUUAUCUGACGAUUGGGAGAGAGCGGAGCAACAGAGGAGGCUGGCCAAGGACAUGGCCGCGGAUAACACAUCUUGCUUGGUUUCCCUGACGAACCAAGAUUGGUUGCAUCCUGCAUGACCUCAUAUUUUUCAUGAGAGUUUUGUGAUGCCCUUUUUUUAAAGUUUUGUGAUGUUAUCUCAUGAGACAUUUCACAUGAUACUAUGUGAAUGUAAACGUAAUCUGUAGUGCAGAGCAAACAGAGUGAACAUGCCAAGAACGUGUUGGUCAGUCUGUGAUUGUCAUACUUCUCUUUUGUAAUUCUGUCGUCCUAUAUAGUUAGUACAAGAUCAUUAUGUUUUGGAAAUAGAAUUUUGUGAAAUUUAAUGCACAACAUGUUCAGAGGAGAGGAGACAGAGGCUUGAUGUUAAUAACUUGAGUCACUGUGAUGAUCGCCCGGGCGGCCGUGUAGCCGUCUCAGAUGGAGUCCCAGGGGAAGGACCAAAAGGAGGUGCCCGCAGGUUUAAUAUUUGACGUCCUCUGUUUGGUAAUGAGAGCAAUGCAAUAUUCUGAUGGGGCACACAUGUAAGGGAAACUGAUAUAUGUCUACCUGUCAAGCUGGAAACUGUAAUUUGUAUUCUGAGCUACGAGCUCUGAAUAAAUUGCUUUUCUCUUUCCUUCAAGUUGUCAUCUUAUUUCAGGAUUGGCAUCACUAAUAAUGCAGAGGGUUUUUCCAUUCAAUCAAAUUAUAAAUUCCAAAUUUGUUAGCAGUUUAUAUAAGUAUUGUACUAUUUUGUUAGA